UACGUAGGGUGCGAGCGUUGUCCGGAAUUAUUGGGCGUAAAGGGCUCGUAGGCGGUCUGUUGCGUCGGGAGUGAAAACUCAGGGCUUAACCCUGAGCCUGCUUCCGAUACGGGCAGACUAGAGGUAUGCAGGGGAGAACGGAAUUCCUGGUGUAGCGGUGAAAUGCGCAGAUAUCAGGAAGAACACCGGUGGCGAAGGCGGUUCUCUGGGCAUUACCUGACGCUGAGGAGCGAAAGUGUGGGGAGCGAACAGG
rnacentral:rRNA from 1 species